rnacentral:rRNA from 1 species
GACGAACGCUGGCGGCGUGCUUAACACAUGCAAGUCGAGCGGAAAGGCCCUUCGGGGUACUCGAGCGGCGAACGGGUGAGUAACACGUGAGUAACCUGCCCCAGACUUUGGGAUAACCCUCGGAAACGGGGGCUAAUACCGGAUACGACACAGCUUCGCAUGGGGUCUGUGUGGAAAGUUUGUCGGUUUGGGAUGGGCUCGCGGCCUAUCAGCUUGUUGGUGGGGUGAUGGCCUACCAAGGCGACGACGGGUAGCCGGCCUGAGAGGGCGACCGGCCACACUGGGACUGAGACACGGCCCAGACUCCUACGGGAGGCAGCAGUGGGGAAUAUUGCACAAUGGGCGGAAGCCUGAUGCAGCAACGCCGCGUGAGGGAUGACGGCCUUCGGGUUGUAAACCGCUUUCAGCAGGGACGAAGCGUAAGUGACGGUACCUGCAGAAGAAGCGCCGGCCAACUACGUG